AACGAACGCUGGCGGCAGGCCUAACACAUGCAAGUCGAACGCCCGUAGCAAUACGGGAGUGGCAGACGGGUGAGUAACGCGUGGGAACGUGCCCUUCGGUUCGGAAUAACUCAGGGAAACUUGAGCUAAUACCGGAUACGUCCGUAAGGAGAAAGAUUUAUCGCCGAAGGAUCGGCCCGCGUCGGAUUAGCUAGUUGGUGAGGUAACGGCCCACCAAGGCGACGAUCCGUAGCUGGUCUG
rnacentral:rRNA from 1 species